rnacentral:rRNA from 1 species
UACAGAGGUGGCAAGCGUUGUUCGGAAUUACUGGGCGUAAAGCGCACGUAGGCGGUUCGUUAAGUCAGGUGUGAAAUCCCCCGGCUCAACCGGGGAAUUGCGCCUGAUACUGGCGGGCUAGAGAUCGAUAGGGGUGAGUGGAACUCCAGGUGGAGCGGUGAAAUGCGUAGAUAUCUGGAGGAACACCGGUGGCGAAAGCGGCUCACUGGAUCGAUACUGACGCUGAGGUGCGAAAGCUAGGGUAGCAAACGGG